rnacentral:pre_miRNA from 1 species
GAUUUCAACUAAAAAGUCAUCAACAACAAAGUUGUAUAACUCAUCGAGAUAUAUAACUUUUAUUUGGUCAUUUCUUCAUCCGACAGAGUGAUAGUUACAUUGUUCAUAAAAUUUACACAUCUCUUAUAUAACUUUAUAUAAUAAAAGAGAGAUAUGUAAUUUUUGUGAAAAUGUUACUAUCACUUUGUUGGAUGAAGAAAUGAACAAAAUAAAAGUUAUAAAUCAUGAUAAGUUACACAACUUUGUUGUUGAUGACUUUUUCAGCUGAAAUU